UGCACUCAUCUAGUGUCGGCGCUUUUAUCUGGGAUUAAUUAAAUACAACCCUUGUGUCUAGCUAAUUCUGAUGUAAUCUGCAUAAGUAUUUUCCAACGUACCGAAUUUAUUUAAUCGAGCAAGGGUCUCGCGGAAAAUAAUACGAUAAUCGCACAUAGACAGGCGUAAUUUACAGCUAUAAUUUCACACGUGACACCAAAUAAAAUUCUCGGAGGGAAAGCUUCAAUAUAUAGCUGGAAUGUAUCCGGUUCAAUUCCAAAUAUAAUGUGACUAUUGAUUUUUUUUUUGUGAAGAAACAAAAUUUCCAAAAAACAUCUGUUAUUGACAGUGAGAAUCAGAACAUGUAACAUAUCAUGGUUGCGAUAACAAAGAACAAGCAACUUACCAUACAGGUGGACUCGUGUAGUUUUCCUAAUUUGGGUCGGAUGAAAGGAGCAAUCUGUUGCCAGAGAAAGGUUUGCACCGGCACUGGUACACCCAAAUCUUGCAAACCUUCAUCGAUGGGAUUUGUGUUGUCGUUGUGGGUCGUCAUGUCGUACCGAAUGCUGUAUGCCUCGCGACAGUAGCGGUGAUAUCGAGUAAUUGUGGUAAGAAUAGAUGUGGAGGUAGCUGCUGUUCUCAAUAGAUAUCAUUAUGGAAGCGGAACAAAACAAGACAAAAAUUAUUCUCGCAGGACUAUUAUUUGUUGGUUUGGUUUAUGUGCUAUGCAAAUGUGUGAAGAACUAAACGCGAUAAACGGAAUAGGUUCACUUCGUUACAUCGAUAAUAUUUGUUUCUGAGCUCGUCGAAAAUAUGUACUUGAACCUAAUAGUUUUAGAUUGCAGUGCCAUCUUGUACUGAAAACGCAAUCCAAUCUAGAGUAUAAAGUAUAUUUCCAAAUGUGUUUGGCGCGUCGUUAUGAAAAUCAAUCUGCACAAUUUAUAAACAGACUCGGCGCGAUGAUGUUAUCAACUGGCAGAACGUAACUGUAUUUUGUGCUGUGGAUUCAACGCUAAUCAAAACCGAUCGUGAUGUAAUAGAUUUUCAGCGUUUCUGAAAAAUAUUAGGUGUACCGAUAUUCGUUGGAAAGCUACUGUCAUUGCGCAUCUUUUUCAGUAUAUGUCAAAAAGUUGAAGCAUGAGCAACAUAGUUUUUUGCCACUUCGAAUAUGUCGAACUUCGUACCAACAAGAGUGUUUUUGCGGGGAGUGUUACAUCAUUACUUCAAUAUGAAGGAAAAAUCCGCGGAAAGUCAUCGCAUUUUGGUGUAAGUUUAUGGUGACCAUGCUCCAACUGAGCGAACGUGUCAGACGUGGUCUGCACGGUUUAAACGUGGUAAUUUUGACUUGGAAGAAAACCAUAUCCGGUUGUUUAAAACCAAUGGGAAUGAUCCGGAAAAUAGGAUAUUGGGUGCCGUAUGAAUUGAAGCCACGAGACGUUUUUUCACGUGCGAACAACUUCUCCAACGGCAUAAAAGAAAGAGUUUUUUUUUGCAUCGAAUCGUUACUGGCGAUGAAAAGUGGGUCUAUUACGAUAAUGCUAAACGUCGGGCAACGUAUGGAUACCCCGGCCAUGCAUCAACAUCGACGGCCGCGCGGAAUAUUCACGGCCAGAAGGUUAUGCUGUCUAUUGGUGGAACUAGCUGGGUGUGGUGUACUAUGAGCUGCUAAAACCGAAUGAAACCAUUACGGGGGACCUCUACCGACGACAAUUGAUGUGUUUGGGCCGUGCACUGAAAGCAAAACUGCCACAAUACGAGCAAAGACACGAUAAAGUUAUUUUGCAGCACGACAAUGCUCGGCCACAUGUCGUGUAACCGGUCAAAACAUACUUGGAAACGCUGACAUGGGAGGUUCCAUCCAACCCGACGUAUUCUCCAGACAUUACUCCGUCCGAUUACUACCUUUUUCGAUCGAUGCAACAUGGCCUGGUUGACCAGCACUACAAUUUUGAUGAAGUCAAAAAUUGGAUCGAUUCGUGGUUAGCUGACAAACCGGCCGAUUAUUUUCGCAAAGGGAUCCGUGAAUUGCCAGAAAGAUGGGAAAAAGUAGUGACUAGCGAUAC